UGCAGCCUUUCAAACCCUGGGCUCCAAAGGAACACAGAGGAAGCGGAAAAUGAGUCCACAGAGGCCCUUCUUCAUUUUUAUUCAGUCUUGCAACUUCUGGGUUUGAAUACGGAAGGUUGAUUCAGUUGCACAGUGGAAUACUUUCUUUUUAUUUUGUUUUGAGGUGCUGAGUAUUGAAUCCAGGACCUCACACGCGUCUCACGCAUCUAGUGUUUCUUCACAGAAUAAAUUUGAUACAGAAUCGAAAGGAUCCUGAGGUAGAGGAUGACAGCCCUGUGUGGGGGAAGCCUGAAGAACCGGUGGAGACUUCCUACUGUCACCUCUGUUAUGCAAAGGAAGGGACAAGAUUCCAAGCUUCCUCUCAGGGUUGCCCAGGUUGGAUGGAGACGCCUUCUUGGAAGAAAUAAAUCUGGAGGUGACAGCAGAUGGCAGUGGGAUCAUUGGAAUCCCAGGGAGACAGUGAAAGGGACCUUGGCGGGACCAUCAUGACAUGACCUGUCCAGAUCAGUGGACAGUUGGGAACCCCUGGGCUUUCCCAAGCUACAGAGCUAUGGUUUGCCCCAGGUGGCUAUCCCUGAUGGCCUCUCUGCCAUCACCACAGCACACCCUGUUCCUCCUGCAGUGUGCUUCUAUCUAGAGACCCCACCUGAAUGUGGCUUUCACAGCACAGCCUCCUGGACACAGGUGGAGCCCAUCACCCGCACCCCGCAUCUGCAUGCCUCGCACUCACCACCACCUUCUGCAGAAUUGACCUGACUCCAGGUCUGUGCCUUGGCUAGGCAGAGACUUCAUUAUGCAUCUGAGAGUGGAACGGAAGGCUCAUUCAUAUGCGAGCCCAGAGCUGGCAGGGCCCUGGGUCAAAAGUAAAGGAGCAGGAGGAAAUAAGAGGGCCUAGAAUGAGGGACGGGGGCUGUGAAUGGAGGAGCCACGUGGCAUGGCCACAUCCCCCUUGUAAGUGUCCCUGCCCACACACUGGGCACCAGGUAGCAGGUGCUGGUCCUUUCUACGCUGAGGUGUCUGAGCCUGGGUCCUGGGGAGCAGGUGCUCACUAGGUUCGACACACACAGCAAAGCCCCUGGAACACCCGGGGUGUAUUGAAAAGACCACCACCACCACCACCUGCAAGAAAGGAAGAAAGGCAGGCAGGCGAUGAAACAAGAUUGAGAUAUGGUUGCUCGUUAGAGACCUGCACAGCCCUGGGAAUGGAUGAAAGGAACAAAGGCUGAGUCUGAGAACCACAGACACUUUCUAGGGAGAACUGGGCAUUUCCACAGAAGGCAGCAAAGCGAGCAAGAAUGAAACUCUCCUGAUGAAUAAGCAAUUUAAGGGGACCCCGAAAUUCCUUGUCAGUUAUGCAGAAAGCUUCCCAGCGAGCUAACAUGAUAAUGGACAUGCCAGAGAAAGUAGAAAUCAGGCCAGGUUACGAAGGAGGGGUACACACAAAGAAAUAACAAAAGGCCGUGGAGAUAAAAAUCACAAGAGUGGUUCAGAAAAAGAAAUGAGAUCUAACUUGCACAGGCAGCAAAAGAAUGAGAAAAACGUUUUCUGACUAUAACAGGCCAAAGCAAGGGGGCUAAGGAGAUUGUUGGCUCAUUUCUAGCUGGGGCAGAGAGAACAUCUAUAAAGCCAUGCCACUAAAAAGCAGAGGCUUUUAAUUUUUCCUUAGCCUAAAAAGGUCAGCUGUGAUCUGAAAGACGCACCACGUGGAAUCAUGAGAGGGCAGAAAGCCAAGAGCAUAAGGAAAGAGCUUGUGUAUGCACUUCACAGGCCCUGAUGGCUUACAUGCCUAGGUACUUAAGGAAUUGGCCCAAGUCAGAGUCAAAUCACUAGCUCGCACUCCGAGGGGAUUUAUGGAGAACUGGUGAGAGGCCUGGAGAUGAGAGGAGGAGAGACCCAGGCAGGCUGUCCCUGCUUCUCUUUAAACCCAGGAGAAAGCAGAUGCCUCUAAAAGUGCUGGGCCUAUCAACUGAGCUGCUAUAAUAGAAAACUACUGGGACACGUCGUCAAAAAAUCAAUCUGCAAACACUAGGUCAUAAGGAAUUAGGUAAUAACCAGCACUGCCUUCCAAAGAACACAUUCUGUCAGAGUAAUCCAAUUUCCUUCUAGGACAGAAUGAUGGGCCUGGUAAAUCAGGAACGGCAAGAGACACAUAAUCUUCCUUAACUUAAAGAGCAAGGCGUUUAAUUUCAUCUUCCACGAGAAGUCUCAAGGGAAGAAAAUCAGGAACAAAGAGACCACAGUUGGCCUUUCUGGGGUUGGGCAGUUGGAAGCGGUCUGAGGGAUUCACCUAAGCAGCAGGGUUUUUUAUGGGUGUGUGAUGGGCAGAGGUAGGAAGUAACUGUGCUCUCCGUGGUGAUUCAAGCCUCAGGAGGUGACAGGAGGGGUGAUGGCGGAGAUGACAGUGGGUGGUGGUGGUGGCGGUGGCAGAGAAGUUUUGAAGAGAAGGGAAUAAUGCUAGUCGAGAUGGUAAUAGAGACAGAGACCAAGGAGAUGGUGGUGACGGUGGAAACGGUGGACAGGAUGGCAAUGAGGGUGGCAGAGACAUUGAUGGUGCAUGUGGAGGUGGCGGGAAUGGCGGAGAUGAAGGGGGUGGUUGUGGUGGCGGUGAUGGAAAGUGUAGUGGUAGAGAUGGACAUGUGGUGAUAGUGAUGGUGGUGGUGGUGGUGAUCACCUAGACGACACUUGGUGUCCUGUCUGUCUUCUGUUACUAUAAGAAAAUACCAUGGGACAGGAAACUUUCGCAGAGGACGGGUUUGUUUAGGUCAUGAUUCCAGAUGUUGCUAAGAGUCUUGUGCUAGGAUCCACUUGACAUCUGCAGAGGCCUCCUGCUACCCACGGUAGAUGGAAUAGUGUGGUGAGUCAGAGCAAGUGUGCAAGGCUGGGUCUCCCUUCCUUUUCUUAUAAACCCACUAAUGGUAUCAUUGGAACCCAACUCUUAUGAUUUCACCUAACCCUAAUAAAAAAGCUCCACAUGCAAAGGCCA